CAAGUCGAACGAUGAACCCUAGCUUGCUAGGGGGAUUAGUGGCGAACGGGUGAGUAAUAUAUCGGAACGUGCCUUGUAAUGGGGGAUAACUAGUCGAAAGAUUAGCUAAUACCGCAUACGCCCUGAGGGGGAAAGUAGGGGAUCUUCGGACCUUACGUUAUAAGAGCGGCCGAUAUCUGAUUAGCUAGUUGGUGGGGUAAUGGCCUACCAAGGCUUCGAUCAGUAGCUGGUCUGAGAGGACGACCAGCCACACUGGAACUGAGACACGGUCCAGACUCCUACGGGAGGCAGCAGUGGGGAAUUUUGGACAAUGGGCGCAAGCCUGAUCCAGCCAUUCCGCGUGAGUGAAGAAGGCCUUCGGGUUGUAAAGCUCUUUCGCAAGGGAAGAAAACUUACUUUCUAAUAAAGAGUGAGGCUGACGGUACCUUGAUAAGAAGCACCGGCUAACUACGUGCCAGCAGCCGCGGUAAUACGUAGGGUGCGAGCGUUAAUCGGAAUUACUGGGCGUAAAGCGUGCGCAGGCGGUUUGGCAAGUCAGAUGUGAAAUCCCCGAGCUCAACUUGGGAACUGCGUUUGAAACUGCCAGACUAGAAUAUGUCAGAGGGGGGUAGAAUUCCACGUGUAGCAGUGAAAUGCGUAGAGAUGUGGAGGAAUACCAAUGGCGAAGGCAGCCCCCUGGGAUAAUAUUGACGCUCAUGCACGAAAGCGUGGGGAGCAAACAGGAUUAGAUACCCUGGUAGUCCACGCCCUAAACGAUGUCUACUAGUUGUUGGUGGAGUAAAAUCCAUGAGUAACGCAGCUAACGCGUGAAGUAGACCGCCUGGGGAGUACGGUCGCAAGAUUAAAACUCAAAGGAAUUGACGG
rnacentral:rRNA from 1 species